GGACAUCUUAUAGGGAAAGGAGAAUCUGAAAACUACAAUUGGGUUUCAAGGUUCAUGUUGUGUGGAGAGGUUCUCGGCCUUCUAACGUGGAGGAGCAUGUUCUGCCUCCUCCGUGUAGAUGCUAGUCUUUGAUGGCAAGCGAGCCAAAUGGUGGCCCUCCUGCCGAGGGCAUGGAUUCCGCCAGAUCUUUUAAAUAUGCUCUCCAUGAUCCUGACUCCUCGUUGAUUUUAGACACCGCCAAAUUCUAAACUAGGGCAUCAAAAGCUUUCACAGGUAUUGAUGGGGUCAAAGGCGGAGAAGGAUACGCUUGUGAUGAGGCUUGCAGUGGAGAAAUUUGAAAGAUUCAUUGAAGAAGGAUCAGUACAAGUCUACCUCCCACAACUUUCUCAUGGAUACACCUAGACCAAAUUCAACAAUGAACGAUCUCCCUUUGUGAGUGCACUUGAAGCAUGCAUGAAGGAGAUCAAUGAAAGUAGGCAAUUGGAGCAGCAACACCGAGCCUAGGUGGAUGUACCCUUCAUAAUCCAGGAGACCAGAAUUGCUAUUUGGAUGGAGGGUCCAAUGGGACGGACCUCAUGGAUAGACACUUAAGAAUACUUUCGUGUCUAGUCAUUCUCAGUUUUUUUUUGUAUACUUCACUAUGUAGCAGUCUUACACGAUGGUCUUGAUACAACAUACUUAUCAGUUUGGUUAUUUUGUAUAGACUAUUAUGCACAUUGUAAAAAGCUUUAGUAUGUGGAUUUAGUAGGGUGAUCAAGGGUAAAUUCGAGUCAUGAUUAUUGCUGCCUUAGUUACAGUCUGAACUCAUUUGGUUUUCUCUAUGUACAUUGUUCAGAAGAAAACAAAAAGGUUAUCAUUUUUUGUUUAGAAA